UACGGAGGGGGCUAGCGUUGUUCGGAAUUACUGGGCGUAAAGCGCACGUAGGCGGCUUUGUAAGUUAGAGGUGAAAGCCCGGGGCUCAACUCCGGAAUUGCCUUUAAGACUGCAUCGCUAGAAUUGUGGAGAGGUAAGUGGAAUUCCGAGUGUAGAGGUGAAAUUCGUAGAUAUUCGGAAGAACACCAGUGGCGAAGGCGACUUACUGGACCAUUACUGACGCUGAUGCACGAAAGCGUGGGUAGCAAACAGG
rnacentral:rRNA from 1 species